GAUGAAGAACGUAGCGAAAUGCGAUAAGUAGUGUGAAUUGCAGAAUUCAGUGAAUCAUCGAAUCUUUGAACGCACAUUGCGCCCCUUGGUAUCCCGAGGGGCAUGCCUGUUCGAGCGUCAUUUCACCACUCAAGCCUGGCUUGGUGUUGGGCGACGUCCCCUUUAGGGACGCGCCUCGAAACGCUCGGCGGCGCGGCACCGGCUUUAAGCGUAGCAGAAUCUUUCGCUUUGGAAGUCGGGGCCCCGCCUGCCGGAAUACCUGCUCGCAAGGUUGACCUCGGAUCAGGCAGGGAUACCCGCUGAACUUAAGCAUAUCAAUAAGCGGAGGA
rnacentral:misc_RNA from 1 species